rnacentral:rRNA from 1 species
UAGGGAAUCUUCCGCAAUGGACGCAAGUCUGACGGAGCAACGCCGCGUGAGUGAAGAAGGAUUUCGGUUCGUAAAACUCUGUUGUUAGAGAAGAACAGCGCAUAGAGUAACUGUUAUGCGUGUGACGGUAUCUAACCAGAAAGCCUCGGCUAACUACGUGCCAGCAGCCGCGGUAAUACGUAGGUGGCAAGCGUUGUCCGGAUUUAUUGGGCGUAAAGCGAGCGCAGGCGGUCAAUUAAGUCUGAUGUGAAAGCCCCCGGAUAAACCGGGGAGGGUCAGUGGAAACUGGGUGACUUGAGUGCAGAAGAGGAGAGUGGAAUUCCAUGUGUAGCGGUGAAAUGCGUAGAUAUAUGGAGGAAAACAAGUGGCGAAGGCGACUCUCUGGUCUGUAACUGACGCUGAGGCUAGAAAGCGUGGGUAGCAAACAGG